rnacentral:pre_miRNA from 1 species
UUUUCUACACAUCAGAAUGACCUGAAAUUUGGAGCAUGUGUUCAUCAAAUAUAGAUGAAUCUACGAAAAAUAUCAAAACAAUAUUUUACAUGAAAUAAAUUGACCAAAAUACCCCCAAAAAGUUUCAGGGGUAUUUUGGUCAAUUUUGUUUUCGCGAAUUUUUUUUAUAUAUAUUUUUAUUAGGUGCGUCUCACCAAGAUGUACACAUGCUCCAACUUUCAGAUCAUUCCUAUUUGUAGAAAA